CUGAUAGCGGAAGUGUUUGCAAAGAAGCCUCUUUUGAAGGAAUUAGCCAAUUCAGUGUCAACAACACCUUGCUCCAUCCAGAAAUAGUGGAAUGCCGAGUGUUUAAGACGGAUAUGGAGCUGGAGAUCCUUAGAUACACAAAUCGUGUGUCCAGUGAAGCUCACAAAGAGGUCAUGAAAGCUGCACGAGUGGGCAUGAAGGAAUAUGAGCUUGAAAG